ACCUGGUUGAUUCUGCCAGUAGUCAUAUGCUUGUCUCAAAGAUUAAGCCAUGCAAGUCUAAGUAUAAGCAAUCAUACUGUGAAACUGCGAACGGCUCAUUACAACAGUUGAAGUUUAUUUGAUAGUACCUUACAUGGACAACCGUGGUAAUUCUAGAGCUAAUACAUGCUAAAAAUCCCGACUUCGGAAGGGAUCACUUAUUAGAUUAAAGCCAAUGCCGCAAGGCUCUGCGCUGAAUCAUAAUAAUUAAGCGAAUCGCAUGGCCAUGCGCCGGCGAUGGUUCAUUCAAUCUUCUGCCCUAUCAAUUUUCGAUGGGAGGGUAUUCUCCCAUGGUAUCGACGGGUUCGAUUCCGGAGAGGGAGCAUUAAAAACCACUUCCAAGGAAGGCAGCAGGCGCGCAAAUUGCCCAAUCCCGACACGGGGAGGCAUGACAAUACGUAUCGAUCUGGGGUUCCUUUGGAUCUCAGAAUUGAAUGAGCACAAUCUAAAUCCCUUAGCGAGAACAACUAGAGGGCAAGUCUGGUGCCAGCAGCCGCGGUAAUUCCAGCUCUAGUAGCGUAUAUUAAUGCUGUUGCAGUUAAAAAGCUCGUAGUUGAACCUUGGGCCUGGCUGUCCGGUCCGCCUCACCGCGUGCACUGGUUCGGCCGGGCCUUUUCUUCUGGGGAAUCCCAUGCCCUUCACUGGGCGUGCGGGGGAACCAGGACUUUUACUGUGAAAAAAUUAGAGUGUUCAAAGCAGGCCUAUGCUCGAAUACAUUAGCAUGGAAUAAUGGAAUAUGACGGCGUUCGUAUUUCGUUGGUUUCUAGGACCGCCGUAAUGAUUAAUAGGGAUAGUCGGGGGCAUCCGUAUUCAAUUGUCAGAGGUGAAAUUCUUGGAUUUAUUGAAGACUAACUACUGCGAAAGCAUUUGCCAAGGAUGUUUUCAUUAAUCAGUGAACGAAAGUUAGGGGAUCGAAGACGAUCAGAUACCGUCGUAGUCUUAACCAUAAACUAUGC
rnacentral:rRNA from 1 species